GGACAGGUGGCCGAGAGGUUGAAGGCGGCAGUCUUGAAAACUGCAGAGGGGAGACCCUCCGUGGGUUCGAAUCCCACCCUGUCCG
rnacentral:tRNA from 1 species